rnacentral:rRNA from 1 species
CCUACGGGAGACAGCAGUGGGGGAUAUUGCACAAUGGGGGGAACCCUGAUGCAGCGACGCCGCGUGGGUGAAGAAGCGCCUCGGCGCGUAAAGCCCUGUCAGCAGGGAAGAAAAUGACGGUACCUGAAGAAGAAGCCCCGGCUAACUACGUGCCAGCAGCCGCGGUAAUACGUAGGGGGCAAGCGUUAUCCGGAGUUACUGGGUGUAAAGGGGGCGCAGACGGCGAUGCAAGCCAGGAGUGAAAGCCCGGGGCCCAACCCCGGGACUGCUCUUGGAACUGGGGGGCUGGAGGGCAGGAGGGGCAGGCGGAAUUCCUGGUGUAGCGGUGAAAUGCGUAGAUAUCAGGCGGAACACCGGUGGCGAAGGCGGCCUGCUGGACUGCAACUGACGUUGAGGCCCGAAAGCGUGGGGAGCAAACAGGAUUAGAUACCCCAGUAGUC